rnacentral:rRNA from 1 species
GAUGAACGCUGGCGGCGUGCCUAAUACAUGCAAGUCGAGCGAACAGAUGAGGAUCUUGCUCCUCUGACGUUAGCGGCGGACGGGUGAGUAACACGUGGAUAACCUACCUAUAAGACUGGGAUAACUUCGGGAAACCGGAGCUAAUACCGGAUAAUAUAUUGAACCGCAUGGUUCAUUAGUGAAAGACGGUUUUGCUGUCACUUAUAGAUGGAUCCGCGCCGCAUUAGCUAGUUGGUAAGGUAACGGCUUACCAAGGCAACGAUGCGUAGCCGACCUGAGAGGGUGAUCGGACACACUGGAACUGAGACACGGUCCAGACUCCUACGGGAGGCAGCAGUAGGGAAUCUUCCGCAAUGGGCGAAAGCCUGAUGGAGCAACGCCGCGUGAGUGAUGAAGGUCUUCGGAUCGUAAAACUCUGUUAUUAGGGAAGAACAAAUGUGUAAGUAACUAUGCACGUCUUGACGGUACCUAAUCAGAAAGCCACGGCUAACUACGUG